GUGCAGCCUCUUUCCAUUGAGGAGGAAUAAAAGAGGGUAAGUGGGUGAUUGUGAUCCACAUGUUUGAUGGUGUUGGGCAAGAAAGCACAUCCAACAUGGAGGUUGAAUUGGCAAGUGAGGCAAUGGUAGGUAAAAGCAGUGCCAUAAUCACCACAGGCAUUACAAGUGAACUUGGAGUCAUGGUUAGGUGGGCAGGGAAGAAGGGUGAGCAAGUGCUGAGAGUGAGAAUUGUGUUCAAGCUCACCCGGAAGUUCAAAGCAGGAUUUGUGAAGGAAGAAAUCACAUUUGGAUUUGCUGCACUUGUAAGCUGAGCCUGAAAGGUCUAGCUCACAUCCCGAGCAAAUAAUUUCCUCUUCCUCUUUCACAUCUACCGGACGUAAGGGGUGGGAAUGGCUGGAAUGCUUUAUGCAUGGACGACGGAGCAAUAGAGAAUGCCUGAACGUUGUUGCCAUCUCUCCCCUUUUCUAUCAAGGUUCUGCAUUCAAAUCCAUCUUUUUGCAUGAUUAUAUAUAGAAUUUUUCUAGGUAUUGUCACUCACAAAUCUUUUUGUUAUCUGUAUGGUGGAAACCAGAUGAAGCUAUUAGUUGUUUUCUUUACUUGCAGAUCUCUAGGCCAAGCUGGCAUAUAUAUAAUAAGAUGGCUUAAAGAUUACACAGACUUCACCAGCACUAGUGUUUCAUUUUGUGACCAUCUAGGGUAGGCAAUUUGAAGUUUUCGCACUUGACUUGUGGGUGCUUUAAUAUUUUAAAAACACUGAGUAGCCUUGUUUUAAUUUCUUUGAUUCUACUGCCCUGGAAUUAUGGGUCCACAUCUGGAAACACCAAGUGAAGCUGCUUCUUCAAGUAAAUGAAUGUGAACAUGUGUACUCUGAUCCUUUUCUUGGGAAACUAAAGAUCAACAAGUGAGAGUAAACGAGAAGCAUUAGAAUUUAUAGACUAAAAUUUGUAUUUCUCUGUAACCAAGUUUGUCUUCAAAUGCUGUUUUCUGCUGCG
rnacentral:misc_RNA from 1 species